UUCAGGGUUGUAGCUGCUAUUCUUCAUAUUGGUAAUAUUGAUUUUACAAAGGGAAAGGAGAUAGACUCAUCUGUCGUUAAGGAUGAAAAGUCUAGAUUCCAUCUUAAAAUGACAGCUGAACUUCUCAUGUGUGAUGCCCAGAAUUUGGAAGAUGCUCUGAUUAAACGUGUGAUGGUGAGACCUGAAGAAGUCAUUACGAGAACGCUAGAUCCUAUUAAUGCAAUUGUUAGCCGGGAUGGUUUAGCAAAAACAAUAUACUCCUGCCUAUUUGAUUGACUUGUGGAUAAAAUCAAUGUUUCAAUUGGGCAAGACCCGAACUCGAAAUCAUUAAGUGGAGUUCUUGAUAUAUAUGGUUUUGAAAGUUUUAAGUGUAAUAGUUUUGAGCAGUUCUGCAUUAAUUUCACAAAUGAGAAGCUGCAAGAGCAUUUUAACCAGCAUGUCUUCAAAAUGGAACAGGAAGAGUACACAAAAGAGGAAAUCAAUUGGAGGUACAUAGAGUUUGUUGAUAACCAAGAUGUGCUAGAUCUGAUUGAGAAGGUUUUUUGUCUGCUGCCUGAUGCAAUCCUUUAUAUUCAUUCAUGAAGAACUGGUGCUUAUUUUGGUUGCCUCAUGAUCAAUUCUAUUGAGAAUGCACAUAAAUGAUCAUAAAUAUUGCAAAAUAGUUAAUUAUUGUUAG